rnacentral:rRNA from 1 species
CCUACGGGAGGCAGCAGUGAGGAAUAUUGGUCAAUGGGCGGAAGCCUGAACCAGCCAAGUCGCGUGAGGGAUUAAGGCCCUGCGGGUCGUAAACCUCUUUUGCCGGGGAGCAGUGGUCCGGACGUGUCCGGGCCGGGAGAGUACCCGGAGAAAAAGCAUCGUCUAACUCCGUGCCAGCAGCCGCGGUAAUACGGAGGAUGCGAGCGGUAUCCGGAUUUAUUGGGUUUAAAGGGUGCGUAGGCGGGCAUUUAAGCCGGCGGUCAAAUGUCGGGGCUCAACCCCGGCCUGCCGUCGGAACUGGGUGCCUUGAGUGGGCGAGAAGUAUGCGGAAUGCGUGGUGUAGCGGUGAAAUGCAUAGAUAUCACGCAGAACCCCGAUUGCGAAGGCAGCAUACCGGAGCCCUACUGACGCUGAGGCACGAAAGUGCGGGUAUCGAACAGGAUUAGAUACCCGGGUAGUC